rnacentral:lncRNA from 1 species
GUUUUUCUCCCGAAGCUCUUCGUACAAGCGCUUUCGAUUCUCGGUUUCAUGAGAACCAUCGUCUUCUCUCUCUUCCGCUUCUUGGGUCUCUCCGAAUUCCUCGAAAUGGAUCAAAACUGGCCCGAUUACACAUCUUACCCGACCCGAAUACCCGAAAUCCGCUCACCUUUCUCCGCUCUACUCAUCCGCGAGAUCUUACCGGUUAUCAAAUUCGAAGAGCUAACUAACUCCGAAGAAGAACUGCCGGAAAACUGCGCCGUUUGUCUCUACGAAUUCGAAG